ensembl:lncRNA LINC02046 long intergenic non-protein coding RNA 2046
AGCCUGGGUUCCCGCCCGCGCCUCUCCCGCCACACCUCCCUGCAAGCUGAGGGAGCCGGCUCCUGCCUUGGCCAGGCUAGAAAGGGGCUCCCACAGUGCAGGGGCGGGCUGAAGGGCUCCUCAAGUGCCACCAAAGUGGGAGCCCAGGCAGAGGAGGUGCCGAGAGCGAGCGAGGGCUGCGAGGACUGCCAGCAGCUGUCACCUCUCGUUACCAUCACUCCUAGUGACCAUUUCGGAUAAUCCACCUUGCCUCAUCAAACCAGAAAACAAUUCAAACCUGGCCUCCUUCUAACUGGAAGCCACAUUUUAAGAACUUAUUGUGAAGAACUGGAAAGCCUCCAAUAGAACAGAAGCUAAAAGCAGAAAUUAUAAAAGCUGUUACACCUACUCAGCUCUAUUACAUGUUGGAAAAACUGAACCAGAGAAACAAUUACAUACACUCUUGUCUUCUGGAAAAGCUGAAUUGGGUUUUGGUCUGAAUCAAUAGGUCUUUGAAUCUGUAACAGUCUCCACAAAGAAGCAGAAAUGGCAAGAACAAGAUCCAAUUCCCAGGACAGCAAUGACAGUGAUGACCCAUUAUACAGGCUGCCUUUCCAGCUCUCCAAUCAUACUUCCAAGAAAACUGCUCACUCUCAGAACCAAGGUUCAAGUUGUACAUUGGGAUUUGGGUAGAGCACGGGACCUGGCAUGGAGCAGCAUUCAAAAUAUUGGGUAGAAGGAAAAAGGAAGAAAGAAGGGAAGGACAGGGAAGCAAGGAAAUAAAGGAAAUCAGGCUAUAUAUACAGUGAUGCCCAUCUACCCCUGAGAUCUAAAAAUCUAAGAUGAAAACGAGCACACAGUCUUGGCAGCAUUGGGGUAACAGACUAUGAAAGAAGAAAUCAGAUUGGAAAAUUCAGUAUAUCAAUGAAGAAAAUAAUCACUCAAGGAGAGGAAUAAACAGCAAAACAAUCUAUAUAUUUAAUUAU